AUCUUAAAUUCGGGAAUUUCCUCAUUGUCUUUAUGUACCCCAGUUCUGCAGUGGGUUCCAUGUCAUGGACUUUGCUAGCUUCUUAGGAGCCUUUCGAAGCCUGGACAGAGCUCUGUCCAGGAUUGGGACCACAGAGUUUCCUGAAAACAGUGUACAAUUGGAAUGGGGAUGGAAAUGGCUGCCUAGAGUGUAG
rnacentral:lncRNA from 1 species